AUUGAACGCUGGCGGCAUGCUUUACACAUGCAAGUCGAGCGGCAGCGCGGGGGCAACCCUGGCGGCGAGCGGCGAACGGGUGAGUAAUGCAUCGGAACGUAUCCUCGAGUGGGGGAUAACCCAGCGAAAGUUGGGCUAAUACCGCAUGAGCUCUGAGGAGGAAAGCGGGGGACCUGCGAGGGCCUCGCGCUGGAGGAGCGGCCGAUGUCCGAUUAGCUAGUUGGUGGGGUAAAGGCUUACCAAGGCGACGAUCGGUAGCUGGUCUGAGAGGAUGAUCAGCCGCACUGGGAGUGAGACACGGCCCAGGCGGAUACGGGAGCGGCCAGUAGUGCAUCUUGGGGCAGGGGGGCAGACCUGAUCACGAUGUGCCGAGUGAGUGAGCAAGGACUUCGGGUUGUAGAGGUCGUUCGGCCGGAUCGAAAUGGGCGGGACUAGUAACGCUGCCUGAUGGCGGUAAAGGAAGAAGAAGCAACGGCUAACCAAGUG
rnacentral:rRNA from 1 species